UGGUAUGAGGGCCUUGUUGUGGGUCAAUACCUCCCAUACAUGUUCAGUCAGCCAAUACAUACACCUGAAUUGAAGAGUUUUCUCAACAAAAUACACAAUUAUGUCUCUCUUGGAUCCACAGGUAGUUUCUAGAUCAAAUCCUCCCGUUAAUUAUGAAAUUUGUUGUAUUCAAAUUCAUGUAACCCCUAAUUAGGCCUCUAAUUUAUGUAUAUUCCACGUAUGACGUUUUAUCUUUUUGGCUUCCCUGAUUUUUUUCUAACAGUGUGUUAGACCACCCAAGUUACGCUUUCAAACUGCAUGCGUCUGUCAAUGCUAUUCAUACAGUCCUGUUGGGAAAAGUGAUCCUUAACCAUUUUGUUCUAUUUUCUUUUCAUUAACAGAUAAAAGAAACAUUUUUCCAUAUUUAAAACUUGGAUAAAAUGGGGAGAUGGAGGAGAUUUCGACAGUUAAGCUUGUAGAGGUUUUCUAUCAAUCUUCUGUAUCCAGACUCAUCUGAAGUGAUGAUACCAUUCGAUGAUACAAAAUACACAGGCAUUAUACCAUAUGGAUACCCAUAUACCGUAUUAUCUCUGGUGCCCAAAAACUUGUUUGGCAUAGAAAUGGCAGACCCAACAAACUACCCUGUGAUAUCAGGUAACUUUGACAGUCUGCAGGGUGGUGAUAUGCGAGCUGCCAUAGAGGAGAUAUUAAUAAAAUCUUCAUAACUUGGUUUUCCUGAGGAAACAGAGGCGUGCUUCUACCAGAUUAUCACCGUUCUACGGUGCAUAACUGACCUCCUCUUUUUCCCCAAACCAUUGGGAAUGGCAUUCACAAAACAGCUGUCAUUCCAUUGCCCCAUAAAACAGUUAGCAGAGAAAUUCGACCCUAUCACCAAGAUCACUAGUAAAUCCAUUUAUCAUACAGCCAAAAAACAUGUUUCUUUACGUCUAUGUAUGACCUUUCUCAGAUAUUCUAUACUUCCUGUGGCUUAAAACAUUGCUGUUACACAUUGGAGAAGGGAAAUUUGUAGCCAAAAGUGAAAAGUGAAGAAACACUUGAGAUUCAACACUGGCAACACCUCAAUAUACAUGAACAAGACCUUGCUUUUCAACAACCUCAGAAAAUUGUAUUCAAAGAUGAUGAGGAAUAUUCCAUAAAUUUAAAUUGCAUAAAUUUCAUGACUAUUAUAAAAUAUGUAAAAGAAGAGACAUAUAUUUUAGGUACCAUUUGUCUUAUAAUGUUAGCUAAUGUAGGUGGGAAAGAAGUUACAUCCAUAUUAAAUUUGACUGCAAAGAUUGAAAAAUAAA